rnacentral:rRNA from 1 species
GAGAGAGACAUGCGCGCAUAUCAAUAAGCGGAGGAAAAGAAACUAACAAGGAUUCCCCUUAGUAACGGCGAGUGAAGCGGGAAGAGCUCAAAUUUGAAAUCUUUCAAGGGUUCUACCUUUACGAAUUGUAGUUUAUAAGAAGUGUUUUCUGUUAGUGGAGUUGGCUAAAAGUUCUUUGGAAUAGGACAUCAUAGAGGGUGAGAAUCCCGUAUUUGGUCAUUCCUCCUAGCGUUGUGAUACACUUUCAACGAGUCGGAUUGUUUGGGAAUGCAGUCCAAAAUGGGUGGUAAAUUUCAUCUAAAGCUAAAUAUUGGCGAGAGACCGAUAGCGAACAAGUACCGUGAGGGAAAGAUGAAAAGAACUUUGAAAAGAGAGUUAAACAGUACGUGAAAUUGUCAAAAGGGAAGCGUUUGACACCAGUGUUGUUUUUCCGAAAGUCAAUUACGAAUGUUUUGUUUUUGAGGAGUUAUGACUUCAUCGGCUUGCUCCUUUCUUUACGAAACUUUCUUAAUGCACUUUUCGGUUAACAAGUCAACAUCAAUUUCUUUUGUUGUAGAAGGGUACGAUUGGAAGGUGGCUUUCUUUUCGGAGAAAGUGUUUAUAGCCUUGUAGCCUCUGCAAUCGGAGAGAUUGAGGUCUGCAGCGUAGAUCCUUCGGGGUUAGAUACAUUUGUGCUAAGUUAUAGCUUUUCAUAGACAACUUGUUGACUAUGUUUAGUCUUGUAGCUUACUCGCUUAUGCUAUUUUACCUACGCUUAGGAUGUUGAUCUGUAGUGCGUGCGC